GCUGGGUGUGGUGGUGCACACCUGUAAUCUCAGCUACCUGGGAGGCUGAGGCAGGAGUAUCACAAGGGCAAGGCCAGCCUGGG
rnacentral:sRNA from 1 species